rnacentral:tRNA from 1 species
GGGCCGGUAGCUCAGCAUGGUUAGAGCGUUCGGCUGAUAACCGAAAGGUCGAGAGUUCAAAUCUCUCCCGGCCCACCA